AAUGAACGCUGGCGGCAUGCCUAACACAUGCAAGUCGAACGAAACGUUCGGGACUAGUGGCGUCUGGCUGCGUAACGCGUCGGAACCUUCCCACAGGUUUGACCUAACUCUCCGACUGGGGUGACAAUACCGGAUCAUGUCUUCUGCCCAAGGAUUUAUCGCCCUUGGUUGUGCCGUCGUUGGAUUAGCUUGUUGGUAGGGUAAAAGCCUACUAGGGCGAGCAUCCAUAGCUGGUCUGAGAGACUGGUCAGCGACACUGGGACUGGGACACGGCCCGGACUCCUACGGGAGGCGGGAGUGGGGGAUAUUGGACAGUGGGCGGAAGGCUGAUGCAGCAAUGCCGCGUGAGUGAUGUAGGCAUUAGAGUUGUAAAGCGCUUGUAACCGGGAUGAUAAUGACGGUACCGGGAGAGUAAGCCCCGGCUAACUCCGUG
rnacentral:rRNA from 1 species